ensembl:lncRNA
CCAGACUGCAACACCCUUCACCACCUCAACUCCCUGCACCUGCAUUUAACAUGAGGAGAGUUACUCAAGCGGCUGAGUUCCACAUCCUUAGCCUGCUGGAGAACCUUAAACAGCAACAAGACCAGCUUGUGGUAAAGGUGAACUACCUCAGCAGCAGGCUGAACAGCACCCCGGGGCCAGAUGUUGAGAUGCCGGACAAUAUCCAGUUUCCCCUGGAACAAUUCGAGGCAAUGGAAGCAUUUGAAGUGUUUUUAAAG